rnacentral:rRNA from 2 species
GUGCGAGACCGAUAGCGAACAAGUACCGUGAGGAAAAGAUGAAAAGAACUUUGAAAAGAGAGUUAAAGAGUACCUGAAACUGCUGAAAGGGAAGCGAAUCGUAUCCAGUGUCUAUAAUCUGCGGCAUAUUUCAUUGGCGGCAGUGUGCGUGCUUUUGCGUCGGAAGCGGCUUCUGUUGCUCUGUGCUUUUGCUGUGCGUGGUGUUGCUGGUGCCCUGUGUUGCGGUGGGACGUCAGAGUCAGUUUGUAUGCUGCGGGAAAUGGCUGCCGAGGAGGUAGGUCGAGAUUUCGGUCUUGGCUGUUAUAUCUUGGUGGUUUGUUGUCGUGGUUGAGACUGAGGUGCCUACAAUGUGCUUUUGAGUGUACCGGGUUCUCAUUUGGUGGACUGUUUGGAUAGCUUGCUAUGCUUGUGGUUUUUUCAUCGGGUGAUUGAGUCUGGUGGUAACUUGUUGCUGUUCGGGACUUUG